rnacentral:rRNA from 1 species
AACGCGAAGAACCUUACCAAGUCUUGACAUCCCCCUGACCGGAACUUAACCGUUCCUUUCCUUCGGGACAGGGGAGACAGGUGGUGCAUGGUUGUCGUCAGCUCGUGUCGUGAGAUGUUGGGUUAAGUCCCGCAACGAGCGCAACCCUUAUCCUUAGUAGCCAGCAGUAAGAUGGGGACUCUAGGGAGACUGCCGGGGAUAACCCGGAGGAAGGUGGGGAUGACGUCAAAUCAUCAUGCCCCUUAUGAUUUGGGCUACACACGUGCUACAAUGGCGUGAACAGAGGGAGGCGAAAUGGUGACAUGGAGCAAAUCCCAAAAACAACGUCCCAGUUCGGAUUGUAGUCUGCAACCCGACUACAUGAAGCUGGAAUCGCUAGUAAUCGCGGAUCAGAAUGCCGCGGUGAAUACGUUCCCGGGUCUUGUACACACCG